GCUGACACAUCCCUGCCAAUCUCCAGCAGACCCUCCCUCCUAGACCCUCCCACCUCCUGGACAGCAUCCAUGUUGAAGGCAGCUUCAACAUGGAUGCUGUCCAGGAGGUGGGAGGGUCUGGGAGGGAGGGUCUGCCGGAGAUUGGCAGGGAUGUGUCAG